rnacentral:lncRNA from 1 species
AUUAUGUCUGUAUAGGGCUCCUGCCAAAGCACAGGUAAGUGUCCCAGGAAGGGAUAAGGGCCCCCACGUAACAGCCGAGGACGACACCAGUGGGGCAGCUCGUUAAAGGGGGAGAAACAGACCAGGGCCCUCAGCUUUGGGAGGUCAGGUGCCAGCCCUAUUUCUACCCCUAUUGGGGGCUCAAGUGGGGGUCCUGGGCAUGUGGGAGAUACAGAACACUGGUGCUUGACAAAGGGAGGGUGUGUGUGUGUCGUGGGGCUCAGUUUCCGCACACGCCCUUGUGAGCCGGGCUGGCUUUGACGAAGCGGCUGUUCCCUCGUUUAGCUGGAAGAGGGCUAAGCGUUCAAGGUUCAAGCCAUCACUACGUUUGAAAUGAAAAACCUGCAGAACAAAAAAGGUGGUGGUAAUAAGGAAGGGGCUAGUGAUCGUUGCGAAUUCGCCGCGUGCUUGAUAUACAGUUUCCCACUUCAGCCUUCCGGCCGCCUGGUGCAGGAGACACGAUCGGAUCGUUAGCAUCUGUGCACAGGGAGGGAAUGAGAAGGGGCGUGUGAAUGUGGCUGUGGUCACGGGCUGGUGGGGGCAGGUCCUAAAUCCCGGAGCAGCCUCGUUCCCACGAGCUGUGCUGUGUCUCUGCUGCUGGAAGAUUUAAACCAGGAUUUGGGCACAAUCUGAGUGAUUGCCUCUAUACUAAGUGUCUUCUGGGAGUUUCCCUUCAUGGCAUUGUGGGUAUAGUGAACGAGGAGCGAGCAAAACAGGUCUGUUCUUCCCCUGAGUUCUGGACCCGUAAAAGCCCAGGUGAGAAUCCUGGAAAAAACAUUUCCCACUUGCCUAAAUGUGGAGAAAUGUUAAGCCUUGCCAUUCCUCAGUUUCCACACCUGUAAACGAGAUCAUGAUGGUCCCCACUUGGUUGGGUUUACGGGAAGCUUACAUGAGUAACGCGCUCUGGAAAUAGGAACAGGAACACAGAACGAGUUUAUUGGCACUUUCUAUAAUUAGUGGUUAGUGUGGGCAGAGUAAGUGGAAAUUUUGGAAUAGGUUAAACAUUUCUGCAGACCUUUUAAGAUUCCCUGGAUGACCGGAUCACCUGCGGCCCUUCCCACCUGACCGCAGAGAACUCUGAACAAGAGGGUAGCUGAUCUUCAUCAUGGUAUUAUUUAUAAGCUUACCUGAAGACUUCCCUCCUUAGCUAUUUCGUCCUGGCCCACCCCUUCGCUCACUGUGUGACCAUGAACCGGACCUCAGGAUUCCGUCCCAGACCUCAGGAUUCUCAAAGAGACAACGGCGAGUCCUUCUACCUGCCCGCGGGAUUGUUACCAGGAUUAAACGACUUACUGUAAGUCAAGUGCUUAGAGCAGUGCCUGAUUCAUGUUAAGCAAUUGCUAAAUCUUAGCUAUCAUCGUUCUCAUCACUCUUCUUUUUAUUAUUUCCCUUAAAGAACUAUCUGGGGGCACCUGGGUAGCUCAGUUGGUUGAACUGAGUCCGACUUGUGAUUUUGGCUCAGGUCCUAAACUCAGGAGUCAUGGGAUCAAGCCCCAAGUCAGGCUCCGUGCUCAGCGGCAGCCUGCUUGAAGGUUUCCCCCCUCCCCUCGCUCUCCUCUUCCUUUCUCUCUAAAAUGAAUAAAUAAAAAUCAUUAGAGAUAAAGAACUGAGACAUACGGGUGGCCCAGCAGUUGAGCGCCUGCCUUUGGCUCAGGGGACCCCGAGGUCCCAGGGGUCGAGCUCCCUGCAGGGAGCCUGCCUCUCCCACUGCCUGUGUCUCUGCCUCUCUCUUUGUGUGUCUCAUUAAUAAAUAAGAUCUUUGAAAAAACAACAACAACAAAAAGAACUAUCUGAGAAUGAACCACGACAUAGAGUGUGACUCACAUACUGUCAAGGUUGGUUCUAACAUGCAGUGUCCUUUAUAC